GUGCUCACUUCAGCAGUGCAUAUACCAAAAUUGGAAUGAUACAGAGAAGAUUAGCAUGGCCCCUGUACAUGAAUGACAUGCAACUUCAUGAAACAUUCCAUAUUUUU